CAGUCGCCGCGGGAAUACGAAGGGGGCUAGCGUUGUUCGGAUUUACUGGGCGUAAAGCGCACGUAGGCGGAUCGAUCAGUCAGGGGUGAAAUCCUGGAGCUCAACUCCAGAACUGCCUUUGAUACUGUCGAUCUCGAGUCCGGAAGAGGUGAGUGGAACUCCUAGUGUAGAGGUGGAAUUCGUAGAUAUUAGGAAGAACACCAGUGGCGAAGGCGGCUCACUGGUCCGGUACUGACGCUGAGGUGCGAAAGCGUGGGGAGCAAACAGGAUUAGAUACCCCCGUAGUCCCUGUCUCUUAUAC
rnacentral:rRNA from 1 species